AAUGAACGCUGGCGGCAUGCCUUACACAUGCAAGUCGAACGGCAGCAUGACCUAGCUUGCUAGGUUGAUGGCGAGUGGCGCACGGGUGAGUAAUGCAUCGGAACGUGCCUUUUAGUGGGGGAUAACGUAGCGAAAGUUACGCUAAUACCGCAUAUUCUCUGAGGAGGAAAGCAGGGGACCUUCGGGCCUUGCGCUAGAAGAGCGGCCGAUGUCGGAUUAGCUAGUUGGUGAGGUAAAGGCUCACCAAGGCAACGAUCCGUAGCGGGUCUGAGAGGAUGAUCCGCCACACUGGGACUGAGACACGGCCCAGACUCCUACGGGAGGCAGCAGUGGGGAAUUUUGGACAAUGGGCGCAAGCCUGAUCCAGCCAUGCCGCGUGAGUGAAGAAGGCCUUCGGGUUGUAAAGCUCUUUCGGCUGGGAAGAAAUCGCACCCUCUAAUACAGGGUGUGGAUGACGGUACCAGCAGAAGAAGCACCGGCUAACUACGUG
rnacentral:rRNA from 1 species